rnacentral:SRP_RNA from 1 species
GCUGGGCACAGUGGCAUGUGCCUAUAGUCCCAGCUACUUGGGAGGCUGAGGCAAAAGGAUCGCUUGAACCCAGGAGUUCUGGGCUGUAGCGCGCUAUGCCGAUCAGGUGUCCGCACUAAGGUCGGCAUCAAUAUGGUGAACUCCUGGGAGCAGGAGACCACCGGGUUGCCUAAGGAGGAGUGAACUGGCCCAGGUCAGAAAUGGAGCAGGUCAGAACUCCCGAGCUGAUCAGUAGUGGGAUCGCACCUGUGAAUAGCCACUGCACUCCAGCCUGGGCAGCAGAGCGAGACCCCGUCUUU